UUUCCGUAGGUGAACCUGCGGAAGGAUCAUUAUUGUAUAACCGAGGUGCGAGGGCUGUCGCUGACCCGAAAGGUCGUGCACGCCCGAGUGCCCUCACACACAUCCAUCUCACCCCUAUUUGCACCACCGCGUGGGUCCCCCUUUGGCUUGUUCGGAGGGGGGCUUACGUUUUCACACAAACUUUGUAUGCAGUGUAUAAUGUAUUUUUUGUUUUUGCGAUCACGCAAUAAAUACAACUUUCAACAACGGAUCUCUUGGCUCUC
rnacentral:misc_RNA from 1 species